rnacentral:rRNA from 1 species
GACGAACGCUGGCGGCGUGCCUAAUACAUGCAAGUUGAGCGCUGAAGGUUGGUACUUGUACCAACUGGAUGAGCAGCGAACGGGUGAGUAACGCGUGGGGAAUCUGCCUUUGAGCGGGGGACAACAUUUGGAAACGAAUGCUAAUACCGCAUAAAAACUUUAAACACAAGUUUUAAGUUUGAAAGAUGCAAUUGCAUCACUCAAAGAUGAUCCCGCGUUGUAUUAGCUAGUUGGUGAGGUAAAGGCUCACCAAGGCGAUGAUACAUAGCCGACCUGAGAGGGUGAUCGGCCACAUUGGGACUGAGACACGGCCCAAACUCCUACGGGAGGCAGCAGUAGGGAAUCUUCGGCAAUGGACGAAAGUCUGACCGAGCAACGCCGCGUGAGGGAAGAAGGUUUUCGGAUCGCAAAACUCUGUUGGUAGAGAAGAACGUUGGUGAGAGUGGAAAGCUCAUCAAGUGACGGUAACUACCCAGAAAGGGACGGCUAACUACGUG